UUACGGCCAUAUCACUUUGAAACACCAGUUCCGGUACGAUCAUCGGUGUUAAGCAACAUCGAGCCUGAUCAGUAUCUAGAUGGGUGACCGCUUGAAAUACCAGGUGCUGUAAG